rnacentral:rRNA from 1 species
CACGUAGGGUGCGAGCGUUGUCCGGAAUUAUUGGGCGUAAAGAGCUCGUAGGCGGUGUGUCGCGUCGGCCGUGAAAACCUGCAGCUUAACUGUGGGCUUGCGGUCGAUACGGGCAUCACUGGAGUUCGGCAGGGGAGACUGGAAUUCCUGGUGUAGCGGUGAAAUGCGCAGAUAUCAGGAGGAACACCGGUGGGCGAAGGCGGUUCUCUGGGACGGUACUGACG